rnacentral:rRNA from 1 species
AGGGAAGGAGGGGGGGAGGAAGAACACAGGAAAGUCGAACGGUAGCACAGUAAGAGCUUGCUCUUACGGGUGUCGAGUGGCGGACGGGUGAGGAAUACAUCGGAAUCUACUUUUUCGUGGGGGAUAACGUAGGGAAACUUACGCUAAUACCGCAUACGACCUACGGGUGAAAGCAGGGGAUCUUCGGACCUUGCGCGAUUGAAUGAGCCGAUGUCGGAUUAGCUAGUUGGCGGGGUAAAGGCCCACCAAGGCGACGAUCCGUAGCUGGUCUGAGAGGAUGAUCAGACACACUGGAACUGAGACAAGGUCCAGACUCCUACGGGAGGCAGCAGUGGGGAAUAUUGGACAAUGGGCGCAAGCCUGAUCCAGCCAUACCGCGUGGGUGAAGAAGGCCUUCGGGUUGUAAACCCCUUUUGUUGGGAAAGAAAAGCAGCAGGUUAAUACCCCGCUGUUCUGACGGUACCCAAAGGAUAAGCACCGGCUAACUUCGUC